AACGAACGCUGGCGGCAGGCUUAGCACAUGCAAGUCGAACGCAUCCUUCGGGGUGAGUGGCAGACGGGUGAGUAACGCGUGGGAACGUGCCCUUCAGUUCGGGAUAACCCAGGGAAACUUGGGCUAAUACCGGAUACGUGCGAGAGCAGAAAGAUUUAUCGCUGAAGGAUCGGCCCGCGUCUGAUUAGCUAGUUGGUGGGGUAAUGGCCCACCAAGGCGACGAUCAGUAGCUGGUCUGAGAGGAUGAUCAGCCACAUUGGGACUGAGACACGGCCCAAACUCCUACGGGAGGUAGCAGUGGGGAAUACUGGACAAUGGGCGCAAGCCUGAUCCAGCCAUGCCGCGUGAGUGAUGAAGGCCUUAGGGUUGUAAAGCUCUUUCGUCCGGGACGAUAAUGACGGUACCGGAAGAAGAAGCCCCGGCUAACUUCGUGCCAGCCGCCGCAGUAACAC
rnacentral:rRNA from 1 species